GGGGAAUAUUGGACAAUGGGCGCAAGCCUGAUCCAGCCAUGCCGCGUGGGUGAAGAAGGCCUUCGGGUUGUAAAGCCCUUUUGUUGGGAAAGAAAAGCAGCCGGCCAAUACCCGGUUGUUCUGACGUGAAUCCCGGAAUAAGCCCCGGCUAACUACGUGCCAGCAGCCGCGGUAACACGUAGGGGGCGAGCGUUGUUCGGAAUCAUUGGGCGUAAAGGGCGUGCAGGCGGCCCUGCAAGUCCGGCGUGAAAUGCCCCGGCUCGACCGGGGAGACGCGCUGGAAACUGCGGGGCUGGAGUACAGGAGGGGAUGCCGGAAUUCCAGGUGUAGGGGUGAAAUCUGUAGAUAUCUGGAGGAACACCAAUGGCGAAGGCAGGCAUCUGGCCAUGUACUGACGCUGAGACGCGAAGGUGCGGGGAGCAAACA
rnacentral:rRNA from 1 species